CAAUAUUCACCACCCAUCACAGCAAAGAGCAAAGAUGUAGUCAAAGGAGUGCCAUUUAUUCAGGCUAACUCGAUCUGUCACUCUCGCUUCAAUUCGUCACUCAUUUUCUCGCGCUCAGCUUCAAUCUAUCACUCUCAGCUUCAGUUCGUCACUCACAGCUUCAAUUUUUCACUGUCGUGAAUCAUCUCUCUUGCUGUAUCUCUCUCUUAUGUCUUCCAAUAAUUUCGGUGAGCUCUCUCUCUAAUUUAAUAUAUGAUUAAAAAUCUUAUCAUCUUAUCAUGUCAUUUAAAUAUGCUUGAAGUUUCAAUUUAGUUUAUGAAUAUUACUUGAAAUUUCAGUUUCAAUAAUUUGAUUUUGCAAUUGAGAAAUUAUUACUUGAAAUAUUGAGAUGAUUUCUAGGGAUUGAUAAUUGAAUGAUAAUUGCUAAGGCUUGUCAUUUUUUGUUUUUGAACAGAUAGAGUUACAAUUAAGUCAUACUGCAAUAUUUUAUCUUGAGAUUCUAUUAUUCACAAAAAGAAAAAAAUCAUAAAUUGAAAAAAAAAAAAAAGAGGUUACGAGCAUCAAGCAACUGCAAGUAAUGGGGUUUGUUUUGAUGAGCUGCGAAUUGGGGCCUGUCAUUUUCUUGAAGUAUCUUCAAUAUAAGUGGAAGGAGAUUUCUUCUCUCCAAAAAAUUAUUGUAUAUUUCCUUUUAAAUUCUAGAUUCGCAUGUAGCUGAUUUUUUAUGUUUGAAGGAUUUUAUUAAAGAAUGUGCUGCUGCUAGUGGCAUGAAUUAAUGUAGUCUCGCUAGUAUUCGUGAUUUGGGGUAAGGAUCGAAUUGAACAAUUAUAUUUCUAUUAUUCUUAUAUUCGAAUCCAGUGAUAUUGUGGUGGUUUUAUGAUAAUAUUCAAUUGUUUUGUGCCUCAAAUCAGCCAAUGAGUUGGGUAUGUGCUGGGUAUAUGCCGUAUGGGCUUGUUGUUGAAUUUGCUUGACCUUGGAUGUGAUUCUUGCCGUGUUUAUAAGAAAUAGACACAGGUCUUUGUGUGGUAAUAGAAUUGUCUAAGGUGCCUUACAAUAAAUUUAAGAGUCUUAAGUAACUAUGCUUUGUAACCUUAAACCUUUAUUUGUACGACUUGGUGUUCUUGGUUGUGAAAGAAUGUUAAAUGUUGACCUAUUUUCAUCGGUGAAGAUAAAUGAAGUUAGGGAAGGUUUGUAAUCACUAUAACCCUGACAAUUUUUUUGGUGGGCCGUGAUAAUUUUAUUCAUGGCAUGUACUUUGUUUUUAUCAGAAGGCCCUGUUUGCUUGUAGUCUCAAAUCUAGGGUAAUAUUUUAAAUAAGUUCUGCAAUAUAUGUUUUGCUAUUUUUCUUUUUUGUUUUUAUUUUAAUUAGUUUUAGUAUUACUUGGAGGGGAAUUCUGAUCUGCUGAAGUUUAUCAAGCUGGUGCAGUGGUGCAGCAAGCAGACCUUUAUCUUAAUCUUAUGAUUGUGCUAAGUGGAAUUUUGUGUAAGUUACAACAAUAUAAUUUUUUAAAGAGCUGACAAGACGCUCUCUCUUUUUUUUGGAAUGUUGAGCAAAACUUUUCUUUCUUAUUAGGUGUUUAUAAUAAUUCAUAGCAUGGGUUUUGUCAUAUUGGUUUCAAUGCAUUGAUUUGAUCUUGGUUACAACCCAUCAGCCCUUACUCCUCAUUCCCAGCAGCUUUUAAUGCCUUUUUUUUAAGCAUUGUACUUUGUUUCAUGAUGAAAUUUGUUUAUAUGACGCAAAGUUGAGGACACGGUAAUAGUCAUUAUUUUAAUUUAUGCAACAAAGAUCAUUAUCCAUUAAAUUUUAUGUUGUUGAAAUAUUUAGAUUUUGUAAAUUUUGUUGUAAGAAAUGAGGGCUCUUGAUCCCAUCCCUUUAUUAUAUACAAUUUUUUUUCACUCUGUCAUUCAUUUAUUGUGUGUUAGAGGUAUUAGUCAUGUGCAAAAGUAAAGAUCUUUAUUUUGUUAUUUUUGUCAUCUUGUGCUUCAUUGGUAUAAAUGAGGAAAAAAAAGAAUAAAAUAAAAUAAAAUUAUAGUUUGUGCAUGAAUUCCACCAUAUAUGAAAUGUUUAAUAGAUUAAAAAGUAAGGAGUACACAGUGACUUUGAAUAGCAGGUGGGGGAACUCAUUUUGUUUUAAAAAAAAUUAAUACAUAUUGAUAGAAUAAUUAUCCUUCACUUAAUUAUUUAAAAAUUUUAUUUUGGAAG
rnacentral:lncRNA from 1 species